UACAGAGGUCUCAAGCGUUUGUUCGGGAUUCAUUGGGGCGUAAAGGGUGCGUAGGUGGCGCCGUAAGUCGGGUGUGAAAUUUCGGAGCUUAACUCCGAAACUGCAUUCGAUACUGCGGUGCUUGAGGACUGGAGAGGAGACUGGAAAUUCAUGGUGUAGCAGUGAAAUGCGUAGAGAUCAUGAGGAAGACCAGUGGCGAAGGCGGGUCUCUGGACG
rnacentral:rRNA from 1 species